rnacentral:rRNA from 1 species
UACGUAGGGGGCAAGCGUUAUCCGGAUUUACUGGGUGUAAAGGGAGCGUAGACGGCGAUGCAAGCCAGAUGUGAAAGCCCGGGGCUCAACCCCGGGACUGCAUUUGGAACUGUGUGGCUGGAGUGUCGGAGAGGCAAGUGGAAUUCCUAGUGUAGCGGUGAAAUGCGUAGAUAUUAGGAGGAACACCGGUGGCGAAGGCGGCUUGCUGGACGAUGACUGACGUUGAGGCUCGAAAGCGUGGGGAGCAAAUAGG